GACGAACGCUGGCGGCGUGCCUAAUACAUGCAAGUCGAACGCUGAAGAGAGGAGCUUGCUCUUCUUGGAUGAGUUGCGAACGGGUGAGUAACGCGUAGGUAACCUGCCUGGUAGCGGGGGAUAACUAUUGGAAACGAUAGCUAAUACCGCAUAAAAUGGAUUAUCGCAUGAUAAUCCAUUGAAAGGUGCCACUGCAUUACUAUCAGCUGGACCUGCGUUGUAUUAGUUAGUUGGUGGGGUAACGGCGCACCCAGGCGAGGAUACAUUGUCGACCUGAGAGGGUGAUCGGCCACACUGGGACUGAGACACGGCCCAGACUCCUACGGGAGGCAGCAGUAGGGAAUCUUCGGCAAUGGACGGAAGUCUGACCGAGCAAUGCCGCGUGAGUGAAGAAGGUUUUCGGAUCGUAAAGCUCUGUUGUAAGAGAAGAACGAGUGUGAGAGUGGAAAGUUCACACUGUGACGGUAGCUUACCAGAAAGGGACGGCUAACUACGUG
rnacentral:rRNA from 1 species